UGUUUUUUCUUCCCCUGCAGUAUCUUUUGAUUUGCCAUAAUCCUUCCAGCUCCUGAAGGAAAUUAAAUCAAUAUAAUUCUCUUCAAAACAGAGUCUUGCUAUUUAUUGAAUGAGUAAAAUGUAUGUAAUUAUGUAAUUUACUGUAUUGUAAUUCAGAAAUACAGAGGAGAGAAAUGAAUUAAUUUAAACAUCCCACCUUAAUUAAAUACUUGUUUGUCUUUCUGUUUUCACACAGUCACCUGAAAAGCUUCUGGAGCUGCAGGUGGAAUGUUUGUUAACACUGCUCAUGCUACCCUUUCUGCAGGCCAAAGGACAAUCGGUGCUCGUGUAAUUGAUUUUUUGAAAAGUAUUGAAGACUUUUUGUGUAUCAGCACGGUGAAUCUGUAAGUGAUUUGUGCUCUGGUAGAUGCACUGGGGAGACAAGGACUUUGCAUUUUCAGUGGCGAUUUGUAGUCUGAGCUAGAAUCUGGUCAGUAAACAAGCCUAAGUCACAAUGUUGUCCAAAUCUUGAUUUUGAGCUGGCAGAAACUUUAAUUAAAGAAGUGUAUUGUCCAAACUCCUGACAUCAUGGGGGAAAUUAAGGUGGGAGUAACUUAUAAUUGCAGAUGAAAUACAGUAAGAAAUGGUGGCUAAAAUUUGCUGUGAUUAGGGAAAAGAUCCCAUCAGGUUCUCCUAUGAUUUGAAAGUGACUGAUAGAAACGUACAGAAAAAAUGUCAUCACUGAUCACUGUACAAUCGUCUGUUUGUGAGAAAUGACACGAGCAUGUGAGAGCAUACAGAAAUCUCCAUAGAUAAAACCUUUCCCCUUGAUCUUGUAUUCCCUUCAAGUGUGAGGUGGAACUAUACCAUCUGUACAGUUUCAUAGCUUUUCUUGUAAAGACAGCCAGAAAUGUCGGAAGAGGUGAAAUAUUUUUCUCUGUGCCACAGCUCUUGAAAGUCAACUAGAUUGUAUUAAAAGCAAGUAAUUUGAUUUUCUUUCAGCUUAUGAAAGGAAUCUUAAGAGUUGCUAUAUUUUGGAAUACUUUUCUGCCUUUAACAAGGCAUUAUCAGGUGGUACCUCACUUUCUAUAUAAUACUUUCAGAGAUGUUUGAGCAGUGUAGGCCAUCUAUUGUACUUACUAUAUGCAUGAAUUAUACCUUUAGCUGUACCUAGAAAACUAGAUGCUUCUUUAAUUAAAGUUUCUGCCAUCUCAGAGCCAAGAUUUGAUUUGCAUGAUUAGUCCACAUUUUGCAUUAAUAUGCUUCCUACCAUGCAAUUAACUGUACUUCAAUGGGUUGCUUUCAGUCUGUUCUUUUUUUUUAUGUUUUUCCUCUAAGUAAUUAACUAUCCAUUGGUCCAAAGAGAGUAACUCUUCUUACCUGAAAUAUACCAGAAUCAGCCAACUGC
rnacentral:lncRNA from 14 species